rnacentral:lncRNA from 1 species
CUCGGCUAGGAAGCCUCGGCAGUGAAAUCCGAGGUUUCGCUGCUUGGUUCCACUGGGCCUGGGUGGGCCGGGCUGGGCCGGGCUGGGCCGGGUCAGAUCUGUGCCACCUCCGCAGACCUAUUUCUUCCUCCAGGGCUCGGGGUUGCCCGCUCCCGGAAUCCCGGAGUCUCCGCGGCCCGAACCGAGUCUGGACCAUUUAGAAGACGCCGGCAGAGCGCGCGUAGAGACCAUUUCCCCUGCAACGCCCCCCAGCCGAACACCCGCCGGGUGUGGCACCUCGGCCGAAACUCCUGGGGCGGCGCGGUGGAGCGUGUGGAGGUUUCCGGGAAGACGCCUACGGCUGCGGCUCCGACUGUGCGGGCUCCCGCCGCCCAGGCAAGAGCGUCCAGGAGCGCGCUGGAAGCUGCGGCGCGCACCUUCCCCGGCGCAGUCUCUUGCCAGCCGGCGAUCACGCAGAGCUGAACCCCGCAGCUAGGCGCGCAGGAAGGGCUGCACAGAGUUUGAAGACACGGCAGCUGUAAGCUGGCGUGAGGAGGCCAAAGGAGCGCGCAGAGCUGCAAGCAAAGGGCGGUGGGGCCUGGACCCUGAAGUGAGUGGCCGACCGCAGCAGCUCAAGGUGCCAUCUGCCUGGCAAGCUACCCGGGUCCCUCCGCCCCACUCUAACUUUCCGCGAAAAUCAGUUCCGCCUCUGCCCCAAGAGCCAAGAGGGGUGGAAAGGAAGAGAGCUUGGGCUGGGAACGCGCCUGAUGUCUAACAGAAAGGCAGUGGCAGCUGGAGCACCUGGGCAGAGCAAGCGGAGAGGCGCCACAUCCCCGAGAGGCGCUUCGUAGUUGUCCUUGGACCGGGCGCAGACACUCAGUAUUGGUCAGCGCUGGAAAUUUUCUUUCCUUUUGCUGUUGGGGCCGCAGAACCAGUCUCCUCCUUUCCCCUGCUCAGACAAAGGGCACGGGAAGGGCUUUGCUGGGGCAAAGGGGGGUGGGGGGUUCUCUGUCCCACGACAGAUGGGUCGCGGUUAAGACUUUAAUUGCUGACUUUUGGGCCGGAUCAGAUUCCUUUUCCUACCUGCCACUUCCCAGCAGCGAAAAAUCCCCCUCCUGCUGCACUCCUCCGCCACCGGGCUAGGUUGAAAGGAAAAAGCCAAGAAGCGCGAAGCAGCCCGGCUCUGGAAGGCUUUGGAGAGUCCAGCUGACUUGUACACAAUUCGCGGCCUCUGGAGCCUUACCUGCCUUCUUGACUGAAUGCCACCAGUUCGUUUUACGCUUGUGGCUUUUUGUUGAAGUCCCUAUCAUAAGCAAAUGCAGUUUCUGGCUAUGGUUACUGCAAUUCGAAAUAAAAGGCCUGUGAGGUGUGUCCCUCCAGACUGAGAGGCUAUGACUCAGGGUUGGACUUUAUGGAAAAAAAGAAGUUUAUAAAACAAGUAACCCAGUUUCUCCAACCUUUACUGUGGAGCAACAGCGUCAAGCAACAAAACCCAGCAAAGUUUUGCUUGUCACUUACAAGGGUGUUACUGAAAUCUGGAAGGCGAACAAUUAGAAGAUAGCCCAAACAUGCUCUAUUGCUCUACACUGAAAUACUUGCCUCCAAUAAUAGAAAAAACCUGUUUUCGUGCAAUUGAUUGAUUAGCGUUCUGCAGCAGUCCCUGGACAAUUUUAAAGACAUUUUGUGUUUGUGGCCAAAAUUAGAAACAAGCAGACACACACACAAAACAACCAUAUUCAAGACACGGUUCGACUGUUUCCUUGACACUACCCACGAAGUUUAAAGCAUUUUUUAUGUUAUUUUCAAACUUUCUUAAGUGAUCCCAUGAAAUAAAAGUCGAUAAUAGAAAUUAAAACAACACAGAGCAAAGAACGAGCUUAGUGAAAUGGAGAAGCAGUAGAGGUAAAUAAAAAUCCUCGAGCUAGAAAGCUCUAAGAACCGCUUAUAAAUUCAGUUACCUCCUGAACUCCGGCCGAUGGCCACUCCGGCCCGGGAGUGCCCCGCGCCGACCCGCUGGCCUUGGCCGUCUCAGC